AUUAAACGCUGGCGGCAUGCCUUACACAUGCAAGUCGAACGGUAGCGCGGGGCAACCUGGCGACGAGUGGCGAACGGGUGAGUAAAGCAUCGGAACGUGCCCUGGAAUGGGGGAUAACGUAGCGAAAGUUACGCUAAUACCGCAUAUUCUGUGAGCAGGAAAGCAGGGGAUCGCAAGACCUUGCGUUCUGGGAGCGGCCGAUGUCGGAUUAGCUAGUUGGUGGGGUAAAAGCCUACCAAGGCGACGAUCCGUAGCGGGUCUGAGAGGAUGAUCCGCCACACUGGGACUGAGACACGGCCCAGACUCCUACGGGAGGCAGCAGUGGGGAAUUUUGGACAAUGGGCGGAAGCCUGAUCCAGCCAUGCCGCGUGAGUGAAGAAGG
rnacentral:rRNA from 1 species